AUCCCUGCCUACCUGAGGCCUUUUAAGGGAAUGGCAAAAACUUCAGUGGGGAGAAAUAUUCUAAACAAUGAAUGGAGCUGCUCGGUUGCUGUCUGCUGUUGGGUGCUUUAGACUCAAGAAAACAACCAACCCAUCCCCACUGUGCCCACUGACCGUGUGCCACAUCUCCAUGGUUCCUCCACCUCCAGAGAUGGUGACUCCACGAUGUUUUAGAGCUGCUGCUGCAGUCUCAUCUGCCCAUGCAAGAGUUUUGCAGAGAAUUUGAAGAGCGGUUGUGAAGGAAGAUGCAGAGCUCCAUGUGAGUCAACCAGUGACGCCCUCAGGGAAGGAGGAGCCUGCAAUAGAAUUAGUGCACGUGAGGAGCUGCCUGCUGACUUCAGGGCUCCUCUUCUGACCAGUGGACUUUGCCAAAACUCAGCCAAGAAAAUUGGCUUGCUGCCCCAAAUCUGCCUUAUUUUCUUCUCUUUUCUUUUGGAAUCUCUGUGCUUUUUUGCAGCAUUUACCCACUGAAAGGCUUGAUCAGCUUUGCUACAAUUAGUCUCUCUGGUUUGUGGGUCAGUCUGUGCAGUUCAGGCACAUGCAGCUGUGUACAGUGAGGUUUUGAAAUAUGAACUAAUCAGACAUCUGACUUUCCUUGCGAUGAAUGUUUGGUUGUGGUGUGUGCUCUGUUUGCUGAUUGGAAUUAUUUUCUCUGUAAUAGAAGCUCUCAGUAUCUCUUGUAAUGUAAGGAGAAAUAAUUAAGUCCUCUUGGUAAUGCAAAUAAAUAAUGUCAUUGGAGGAUCCUGAGUGCAUCAUAAAUCAUCAGAGCUGUGUUCCUGAGAUGCCACAUCCUUGUGUCCUGAUGCUGAAUGAUUACAAUGGGGUUUUAUCACAUGUUGUGCACUGAUCACCUGCUGGUCUUUAAUGCCACCUGUAACGUCACUGCCUGAAGAGCUCAGUGAAGCUGUGGUGUCACCAAUGUCUGGCUGCAGCCUGUGGGUUUUAAUGGCCCCACUUUAGCAGCAGUGAAAUAUCUCAGGGCUUUUGGCUCUCACAGUGGAGGGAGGUGCUUUCAUGCUCAAUCUGUGCUGAGGUUGUAGUACAUGGUCCUAUCAAUGCAUUUACAUAGGUAGUAUUUUAAUGUAUGUAUCUGUGCUGGGAUGGAGCAAGUAGUGGUGCCGCUGUUAUGUAUUAUCCCAAUGAUGAGAGCAUUGAGAAUGCUUCACGUAGGAAGUGCCUCAUCUGUGAAGCA